AGCUUCUGUAGGUAACCUGUGUGAGGAAGAGUCAUGUUGCCACCAAAUCUGUUUCAAUGAUGGUACCCAGGAAGGUACUCUUGUGUUUGGUUCAAGAGAGCACUUGGGAACACCCAUGUUUACUGACCAGAACCAUGAGCAAGUGUUUAUGUUUUACCAUUAGCUCAUAAUUAAAUACCAGUAUGAGAAUAUCUUUCAGGGCCCCAGAGAUUUCCAUGGCAUGAGCUUGCACCAUCAGUGAACCCAUAACAUUGGAGCAAUGAGCAGAUUGAACAGUAGUGCAGUCCACUGGUAAAAUCAGUCACUAAAAACACCAGUGGCAUGCCCCCCUUUCCUCUUUGGCUUCUCCUCCUGUCGCAUGUUCAUAUCUACCAAUGACAAGCCAACAUAUAAUUUUUGGGAUUGUAG